rnacentral:rRNA from 1 species
UACGAAGGGGGCUAGCGUUGUUCGGAUUUACUGGGCGUAAAGCGCACGUAGGCGGUUUGUUAAGUGAGAGGUGAAAUCCCAGAGCUCAACUCUGGAACUGCCUUUCAUACUGGCAAGCUAGAGUCCGGAAGAGGUAAGUGGAACUCCUAGUGUAGAGGUGGAAUUCGUAGAUAUUAGGAAGAACACCAGUGGCGAAGGCGACUUACUGGACCACAUAUUGACGCUGAGGUGCGAAAGCGUGGGGAGCAAACAGG